rnacentral:rRNA from 1 species
UACGUAGGGCGCAAGCGUUUGUCCGGAAUUAUUGGGCGUAAAGAGCUCGUAGGCGGCUUGUCGCGUCGACUGUGAAAAACCCGCGGCUCAACCUCGGGUCUGCAGUCGAUACGGGCAAACUAGAGUAUUGCAGGGGGAGACUGGAAUUCCUGGUGUAGCGGUGAAAAUGCGCAGAUAUCAGGAGGAACACCGGUGGCGAAGGCGGGUCUCUGGGCAAUAACUGACGCUGAGGAGCGAAAGCGUGGGGAGCGAACAGG